AGCAGCCGCGGUAAUUCCAGCUCCAAUAGCGUAUAUUAAAGUUGUUGCAGUUAAAAAGCUCGUAGUUGAAUUUCGGGGUUAGUAGGUCGGUCAUGCCUCCGGUAUGUACUGGUCUCACUGAUUCCUCCUUCCUGAUGAACCGUAAUGCCAUUAAUUUGGUGUUGCGGGGAAUUUGAACUGUUACUUUGAAAAAUUAGAGUGUUUAAAGCAAGCUAACGCUUGAAUACAUUAGCAUGGAAUAAUGAAAUAGGACGUUCGAUCCUAUUUUGUUGGUUUCUAGGAUUGACGUAAUGAUUAAUAGGGAUAGUUGGGGGCAUUAGUAUUCAAUUGUCAGAGGUGAAAUUCUUGGAUUUAUUGAAGACUAACUACUGCGAAAGCAUUUGCCAAGGAUGUUUUCAUUAAUCAAGAACGAAAGUUAGGGGAUCGAAGACGAUCAGAUACCGUCGUAGUCUUAACCAUAAACUAUGCCGACUAGGGAUCGGAUGAUGUUAAUUUUUUUAAUGUACUCAUUCGGCGCCUU
rnacentral:rRNA from 1 species